rnacentral:rRNA from 1 species
UACGGGGGGGGCAAGCGUUGUUCGGAAUUACUGGGCGUAAAGGGCUCGUAGGCGGCCAACUAAGUCCGACGUGAAAUCCCAAGGCUUAACCUUGGAACUGCGUCGGAUACUGGAUGGCUUGAAUUCGGGAGAGGGAUGCAGAAUUCCAGGUGUAGCGGUGAAAUGCGUAGAUAUCUGGAGGAAUACCGGUGGCGAAGGCGGCAUCCUGGACCGACAUUGACGCUGAGGAGCGAAAGCGUGGGGAGCAAACAGG